UUCGCGUUUACGYUYUAUAACCCUUUGUGAACAUACCUAUAACUGUUGCUUCGGCGGKUAGGKUCUCCGCGACCCUCCCGGCCUCCCGCCUCCGGGCGGGUCGGCGCCCGCCGGAGGAUAACCAAACUCUGAUUUAACGACGUUUCUUCUGAGUGGUACAAGCAAAUAAUCAAAACUUUUAACAACGGAUCUCUUGGUUCUGGCAUCGAUGAAGAACGCAGCGAAAUGCGAUAAGUAAUGUGAAUUGCAGAAUUCAGUGAAUCAUCGAAUCUUUGAACGCACAUUGCGCCCGCCAGCAUUCUGGCGGGCAUGCCUGUUCGAGCGUCAUUUCAACCCUCAAGCUCUGCUUGGUGUUGGGGCCCUACAGCUGAUGUAGGCCCUCAAAGGUAGUGGCGGACCCUCUCGGAGCCUCCUUUGCGUAGUAACUUUACGUCUCGCACUGGGAUCCGGAGGGACUCUUGCCGUAAAACCCCCAAUUUUCCAAAGGUUGACCUCGGAUUCAGGUAGGAAAUACACGCUGRACUUAAGGCAUAUCAA
rnacentral:rRNA from 1 species